rnacentral:miRNA from 2 species
ACUCUAGCUGACUAAGGCGCU